AUCCGGAAAUGAACAGAUAGCAUACAACGCUGUUGCUGCUUCUUUCACCUCUCUAACUUUCCCAUUAUUUAGUAGUGUGACUAACGCUUGAAUUGCAUUUGGGUACGCCCCGAUUGUCGCUUUGUUCACUUCUACGACUGCAAGACUGGUCAAGAUAGUGCAACCCAAGGCACGGCUAUCCGGCGACCCAAUCCGUAGAACUGUGACAACCCGACCAAUUGCGCCUUCUGCUACUAAACCCACCUUGUUAUCGUCGUCAAGGGAGAGAUUGAGUAAUAGAGAGAGGGCUUU
rnacentral:misc_RNA from 1 species